CAGUAGCCACGGUAAUGCGAAGGGGGCUAGCGUUGUUCGGAAUUACUGGGCGUAAAGGGCGCGUAGGCGGCCAUUCAAGUUAGAUGUGAAAGCCCUGGGCUCAACCUAGGAAUUGCAUUUGAUACUGUUUGGCUUGAGUUCGGGAGAGGUGAGUGGAAUUCCCAGUGUAGAGGUGAAAUUCGUAGAUAUUGGGAAGAACUCCAGUGGCGAAGGCGGCUUACUGGCUCAUACUGGACGCUGAGGUGCGAAAGCGUGGGGAGCAAACAGGAUUAGAUACCCCUGUAGUCCCUGUCUCUUAUAC
rnacentral:rRNA from 1 species